CCUACGGGAGGCUGCAGUGGGGAAUAUUGGACAAUGGGCGAAGGCCUGAUCCAGCCAUGCCGCAUGUGUGAAGAAGGCCUUCGGGUUGUAAAGCACUUUCAGUGGGGAAGAAAGCCUUGGGGCUAAUACCCUCGAGGAAGGACAUCACCCACAGAAGAAGCACCGGCUAACUCCGUGCCAGCAGCCGCGGUAAUACGGAGGGUGCGAGCGUUAAUCGGAAUUACUGGGCGUAAAGCGCGCGUAGGCGGUCUGAUAAGCCGGUUGUGAAAGCCCCGGGCUCAACCUGGGAACGGCAUCCGGAACUGUCAGGCUAGAGUGCAGGAGAGGAAGGUAGAAUUCCCGGUGUAGCGGUGAAAUGCGUAGAGAUCGGGAGGAAUACCAGUGGCGAAGGCGGCCUUCUGGACUGACACUGACGCUGAGGUGCGAAAGCGUGGGUAGCAAACAGGAUUAGAUACCCCAGUAGUC
rnacentral:rRNA from 1 species